rnacentral:rRNA from 1 species
CCCUUAGAUGUUCUGGGCCGCACGUGCGCUACACUGAUGCAUUCAACGAGCCUAGCCUUGACCGAGAGGUCCGGGUAAUCUUUGAAACUGCAUCGUGAUGGGGCUAGAUUAUUGCAAUUAUUAAUCUUCAACGAGGAAUGCCUAGUAAGCGUGAUUCAUCAAAUCGCGUUGAUUACGUCCCUGCCCUUUGUACACACCGCCCGUCGCUCCUACCGAUUGAGUGUGUUGGUGAGGAGUUCGGAUUGGCUCUUAGUGGUGGUUCGCCACCACCUAGAGCUGAGAAGUUCUCCAAACCGCCCCACUUAGAGGAAGGAGAAGUCGUAACA